rnacentral:sRNA from 1 species
GUUAUUUUUUUGAAUAACAUGUACCUCGGUGAUAUUACUAUACAUUUGCAAUUUGAGAGAAUGUAUUUCCUCUUCUUAUUUUGUUUAGCAGAUUUUAAUCCAUUGAUUUGUUUAUUAGUGUGAGAAUCCCAAUCACCACAGUAGCAUCAGAGUCGGCUUUCAGCGUUGGAGGUCGGAUGUUAAAUCCUUUUAGGAAUCGCCUUCUUCCCCAAACUGUGCAAGCAUUACUUUGCACUCGCAAUUGGCUAUGUGGAUAUGCAGAAUUGUAGGCUUGAAAGUAAAAUUG